UACGUAGGGUGCAAGCGUUGUCCGGAAUUAUUGGGCGUAAAGAGCUCGUAGGCGGUCCGUCGCGUCGGGAGUGAAAACUCGGAGCUUAACUCCGAGCCUGCUUCCGAUACGGGCAGACUAGAGGUAGGCAGGGGAGAGCGGAACUCCUGGUGUAGCGGUGGAAUGCGCAGAUAUCAGGAAGAACACCGGUGGCGAAGGCGGCUCUCUGGACCGAGACUGACGCUGAGGCGCGAAAGCGUGGGGAGCAAACAGG
rnacentral:rRNA from 1 species